rnacentral:rRNA from 1 species
CCUACGGGGUGCAGCAGUAGGGAAUCUUCCACAAUGGGCGAAAGCCUGAUGGAGCAACGCCGCGUGGGUGAAGAAGGUCUUCGGAUCGUAAAACCCUGUUGUUAGAGAAGAAAGUGCGUGAGAGUAACUGUUCACGUUUCGACGGUAUCUAACCAGAAAGCCACGGCUAACUACGUGCCAGCAGCCGCGGUAAUACGUAGGUGGCAAGCGUUAUCCGGAUUUAUUUGGCGUAAAGGGAACGCAGGCGGUCUUUUAAGUCUGAUGUGAAAGCCUUCGGCUUAACCGGAGUAGUGCAUUGGAAACUGGGAGACUUGAGUGCAGAAGAGGAGAGUGGAACUCCAUGUGUAGCGGUGAAAUGCGUAGAUAUAUGGAAGAACACCAGUGGCGAAAGCGGCUCUCUGGUCUGUAACUGACGCUGAGGUUCGAAAGCGUGGGUAGCAAACAGGAUUAGAUACCCCUGUAGUC